GACGAACGCUGGCGGCGUGCUUAACACAUGCAAGUCGAACGGUGAAGCCUUCGGGUGGAUCAGUGGCGAACGGGUGAGUAACACGUGAGCAAUCUGCCCUUGACUCUGGGAUAACUUCGGGAAACCGGAGCUAAUACCGGAUAUGACAUCUGGCCGCAUGGUCUGGGUGUGGAAAGAUUUAUCGGUCAAGGAUGAGCUCGCGGCCUAUCAGCUUGUUGGUGGGGAAUGGCCCACCAAGGCGACGACGGGUAGCCGGCCUGAGAGGGCGACCGGCCACACUGGGACUGAGACACGGGCCCAGACUCCUACGGGAGGCAGCAGUGGGGAAUAUUGCGCAAU
rnacentral:rRNA from 1 species